rnacentral:lncRNA from 1 species
AUUUCAUAGAAAGUAUGGAGAAUCCUUCGUUUUGCGAUGAAACAGGAGACAAGAAACUUGGAAGGAAAGUCCUGAAUGGUGCAGUAAAUUCUGAACUUUGGGAUUGGUUGAGAUUGGAGCUCAUUUUUCAACAAUAAGUACUUCAUUUAUUCUGGGGUGUUCUCGUCAGACACUCCCCCUAGAGCUGUCUAUCUUCUGAUGAGAUUCUCUCUUGAAAUACUUUAUGCACGGAACCCAGUUCCCAGUCCUGUGUGCCUGACUUUUUCCUCCUCACUCUGGCUUCUCUUUUCUGACUUGUGUUAUUGAAUGACAUAUGGAAACCUAAUCAGUAAACAUACUCAAGCUGUAUUUCACAUCUUGCUUUGCCU